rnacentral:rRNA from 1 species
GCACAGCAACGGGUGGAGCGUGCGGUUUAAUUGGAUUCAACGCCGGAAAUCUCACCGGAGGCGACGGUUAUAUGAAGGCCAGGCUGAUGACCUUGCCUGAUUUUCCGAGAAGUGGUGCAUGGCCGUCGUCAGUUCGUACCGUGAGGCGUUCUGUUAAGUCAGACAACGAACGAGACCCUCAUCUUUAGUUGCUACUAGUAAGUCCGCUUAUUAGGCACACUAAAGAAACCGCUGGCGAUAAGUCAGAGGAAGGUGAGGGCAACGGUAGGUCAGUAUGCCCCGAAUCCUCCGGGCUACACGCGCGCUACAAAGGCUAGGACAAUGGGCUUCAACACCGAAAGGUGACGGUAAUCCCGAAACCUAGUCGUAGUUCGGAUUGAGGAUUGAAACUCAUCCUCAUGAAGCUGGAAUCCGUAGUAAUCGCGGGCCAACAUCCCGCGGUGAAUAUGCCCCUGCUCCUUGCACACACCGCCCGUCAAACCAUGCGAGUUGGGUCUGAGUGAGGAUGUAGUUUUUGCUACGUUCAAACUUAGGCUUAGUAAGCGGGGUU